rnacentral:rRNA from 1 species
UACGUAGGGUGCGAGCGUUGUCCGGAAUUACUGGGCGUAAAGAGCUCGUAGGUGGUUUGUCGCGUUGUUCGUGAAAACUCACAACUCAAUUGUGGGCGUGCGGGCGAUACGGGGCAGACUGGAGUACUGCAGGGGAGACUGGAAUUCCUGGUGUAGCGGUGGAAUGCGCAGAUAUCAGGAGGAACACCGGUGGCGAAGGCGGGUCUCUGGGCAGUAACUACGUGAGACGCGAAAGCGUGGGGGAGCAAAACAGG